GUUGGAGGCGGGGCUCUACUCGACUGAACCGUGCGACUCCAGGGCACCUGCGCAGAAAGGUGCGUUAAGAUGGCGGCUGCUGGAGUCGACCGCUGCGCGGCGAUGGUGGUGUUUCUCUGAGAUGAAAUACAUAAAACCUUUUAUUUCAGCUUAAAUGUACCUUCCAGCUGGCUGCUAUAUAAUGUGAUGUGCAUGCAGAGAACGUCACAGGAUUGGUGAGUGCCUAGUAUGAACUAGUCAUUACUCAGGUCCCUGGCUGGCUGUUAAAUUCUUGUAACCAUUUCAAAUUCCAAGCUGUGCUACUUUGUGCAUUUGGCCAGGCUACCCUCUCAAAACUGCUGAUGUCCCUGCAGGGUUUGGAGAGCAUCCAGAACUUCAG
ensembl:lncRNA